UACGUAGGGACCGAGCGUUGUCCGGAUUCAUUGGGCGUAAAGAGCUCGUAGGCGGUUUGUCGCGUCUGCUGUGAAAACCCGAAGCUCAACUUCGGGCCUGCAUCCGAAACUGCCCGACUAGAGGUAGGUAGGGGAGAUCGGAAUUCCUGGUGUAGCGGUGAAAUGCGCAGAUAUCAGGAGGAACACCGGUGGCGAAGGCGGAUCUCUGGGCCUUACCUGACGCUGAGGCGCGAAAGCUAGGGGAGCAAACAGG
rnacentral:rRNA from 1 species